UACGUAGGUGGCAAGCGUUACUCGGAAUCACUAGGCGUAAAGCGCAGGUAGGAGGUUUGGUAAGUCUGUUGUGAAAGCUCCCGGCUUAACUGGGAGAGGUCAACGGAAACUACUAGGCUAGAGUGCGGUAGAGGUAGCUGGAAUUCCCGGUGUAGCGGUGAAAUGCGUAGAUAUCGGGAGGAAUACCUAUGGCGAAAGCAGGCUACUGGACCGUCACUGACUCUGAUCUGCGAAAGCUAGGGGAGCAAAC
rnacentral:rRNA from 1 species